rnacentral:rRNA from 1 species
AUUGAACGCUGGCGGCAGGCCUAACACAUGCAAGUCGAGCGGAGCGGCGGACGGGUGAGUAAUGCCUAGGAAUCUGCCUGGUAGUGGGGGAUACCGUCCGGAAACGGGCGCGAAUACCGCAUACUCUCAGAUGAGCCUAGGUCGGAUUAGCUAGUUGGGGGGGUAAAGGCCUACCAAGGCGACGACCCGUAACUGGUCUGAGAGGAUGAGCAGCCACACUGGAACUGAGACACGUUCCAGACUCCUACGGGCGGCAGCAGUGGGGAAUAUUGGACAAUGGGCGAAAGCCUGAUCAAGCCAUGCCGAGUGUGUGAAGAAGGUCUUCGGAUUGUAAAGGACUUUAAGUUGGGAGGCGUUACCAACAGAAUAAGCACCGGCUAACUUCGUGCCAGCCGCCGCGGUAAUUC